rnacentral:rRNA from 1 species
CAGGGGAGGUCCAAGAAGCCCGCGGUGGGGGUGGAGCAGCCAGGGGGGCCAAGAAAGCCGGCCGGGGCGGGCGCGGAGAGUGCUGAUGUGGCGGCCGUGGGCGGGGCGGCGGCGGCCAAGGCCAGGGAGGACGAGCAGCAGCAGCAGCGUCUCCAUGGAUGCGGCGGCGUGACGGCUUCCAGGCACGGAUCCCUCCUCCGCCUCCAUCCUCCACCUCUCUGGUCGCCCGGUUGCAACGCUGCAGCUCCUUCCUACCUUCCAUGGACGAGCUCGACGGAGACGCCGUCCAGCCCGACCAUGGCCACGACUACGCCACGCACAAGGUCCCUUCCUGCUCCCCCACCUUCUUCCAUGGUUCAAGACGCUACAUAGAUUGCUGCUGCUGUUUGUCAAAUUCAUUCCACUGAAGCCAUCUACUUCGUCCACCAACCCGCCCCGAAAGGCAGUUAUUGUGAAUUGAUGUUCGCACUGAGGCCAGAGGCGAGAGGCGAGGGCACAAAGGUCGGCGGCAAGUGCUCAGGAGAGAAGAGGAAGGCAGUGGUGGCUGCGGUUUACACGAGAGCGAGGUGACCUGCCCAGAAAGGUAGUUACAGUGAAUUGAUGUUCAUAUGAACUUCAAUGCUGUGACGUUUUUAUUAGAUCUGAGUUGCAAUCCUCAAUUUUUUUAGGUUUGAGUAGCAAUGCUCCUGCUCUACUAGCUAUGACAUUUUCCAUGUUUUUUCUUCUAAUAUCGUAUAGCCUCCAUGCUUAUGGGUUCAACUUGACAAGCUUUUUUUCAUCUUACAUCCUGUUUUAAGCUCUGUUUAUGGUUGAUUUCUGCCAUGUUUAUGGAGGGAGAGGACGCCAAGUACUAGGAGAAGGAUCAGUUUAGCAAGUACAGGCUGUAAUUAUCUCGUGAUUAUGGAUUGCUGAGAAGCGCAACCUUUUGAUCUUCGAGAACCGCAAGUUUGCUGACAUUGAAAACACAUUCAUUAUGCGAGACGAAUGGCUCUAGAAUCACUAAGGUUGCUCCUUCUCUGUUCCUUUGCUCCUUCCACCGUGAGGUGCAGGUGCCGCUCCGCAAGGUGCUCGAGCUCCCGAGGUCUACAUGGGCGCCUGCAAGUGGGACGAGCUGCCCUACACGCGCGUGGCGUCCACGGCCAUGCGCCAGUACAAGGAGGCGUCCUGGAUGCAAGAUUUUAAAUAGCGUCCGCUACCUCCGCUAUUGCGGCUGCAAUAGCGGUAGUGUCACCCUGCCACUAUUAGUUUAAGGUUGCGUUAGAAAAUAGCGUGUUGUCAUGAUGCGGGCGCAAUAUCACUUGUUAGACCGCUAUAUCAUCCGCUAUUCGUAAUAUCGCCCGCUAUAUACG